AAUAUUAACACUAACUUUGGCCAGUGUUUGUGACCAAUUGGUAUGUCCAGUUUUUUUUAGCAGUCACUUGGUCACAAACACUGGCCAAAGUUAGUGUUAAUAU